GGAGGCGCCAAAACUUGGUGAGUGCCCCGGGGACUUGUCCCGAGACUGGAAGAGGCUGAUCACCUCUCAUUGGAACCUUGGGUUGGAUGCAUUCCGACCACUCGAACCCUUCUCGGGGGGUUUUGUCCUGAGUUUAGGUGGGAUCCAUACCGGGUUCCACAACUUGACCCCGUACUCAGGGGGGUAUUGUUUAAACUCGGAGUGCUUGAGCGUGAAAGUGUGCGAGACUGUGUUUGUGGCUCCACGGGCUGGUCCUACGGAGCAAGAGUGGGUCCCAACCUGCGGUUCCUGUGUCAGGUCAUACGGCAUAACGGUUGGCAGCUAACCCCGAAUUCUGCUGGGGCAACCUUAGCCAAGACCGACUUCGUCCCGCGAGGGAGCAGGCCAGGCGGACGAGCGAAUCUACCCCACCCUUUGUGUGUCCACGUCGUGUGGGGCUCGGCAG